rnacentral:lncRNA from 1 species
UGCAACUAUACUAAUUGCCUACAACAUUGUUAUCCUUGAUUCUUACUUUCAAGUUCCCCAAUUUGCUGCAGAGACUUAGCCUAAGACUUGCGGGGAAAUAUUAAAAUAGCAUCUUAAAGUUAAUGUGACCAUAUUUAAAGAUAUUUCAAAGAGAAAUUUACUAUAAAACAAAAAAUACAAAUCAUGAAUGCUUCAAGGCAAUUAUCUCAAAAUUCUUUAAGCUAAGUGACACAUCUUAAUAUUUCCCAUGCUAAUGCUACAGUGAUAUUUGGCAGUACAAAUCGAGCAAAAUAAAAAAUGAUUCAAAGUUCAAUUAAUAUGUUCACACAACAGUCAAAGAGUUGGAACCACAAUUGAGCAAACCCUCCAUCGCAAUUUCCUGACCAAGCAUAGUAAAGAGUCAAAAGAAUGUUCGUGACACAAUAAAGUUAUUAUUGUACCAAUCAAAGCUUAAAGAGUAAUUUUUCCAAGUUACAACACAAAUUAAUUGGGCUAACACAAAUUAAAGAGUCAAAUAAAACAGCAGGCUAACUUAAAUUGAAGAAAUACAGACCAAUUGGGCUGGAAUCAUCCUUGAAGUUUGACAACUGCACAACCCGCACUCUCUGUGUAAAUUUAAGGAACUCUUUGCAGAAUGCAGGAUCACCAGCACAUUUAGAGUCAUACAAUCUUAAUUGAACUCCACCAUACAGUUCAGGCAUGAGUUAAAAAAAUGCAAAAAAUAAGCCAAAAGGAUAAUUUGUGCAAGAAAUCAUGCAUGUCAUACACAUAUCUACAUGCAUGGCUUUCACAUAGAAGCAGGAGUAGACAUCACGCUUUUAUAAUAUUAUUAUUUUCGAGAAGAUAAGUUUAACCUACACUACACUAGCUAUAUAUUUGGGUAUAUAGUUGGACUGAAGCUGCAGCCGUGCCAUACAUGUACAUGCAUGACUAUAAUUAGAUAGAUUACAUAUAAUUAAGCAGGCAAAAACAUUGUGCGAUGAUAUGUACUGUAAGUAUGUAUAUACCUAUUGCUACUUUCAAAAUAAUUAAUUAAACAAGUGAUGUUUCAGGACAGUGAGCCACUCUGCAGCUGGCCGAGUUGAGAUAAAAUGUAAGUAUGUAUAUACCUAUUGCUACUUUCAAACCAUCAUAUAUCAGUUAGUUCCAAUUUUUAGCUACAGGACAGUGAGUUGAGAUAAAAUGUAAGCAACCGACCCAAGAAUCUAAAGCAAAUCAACCUAAAAUCAAAUUAACAGAGUACCUCAAAUUAUAUUAUCUGUUAAAAUUUUAAACUUAAGCACUAAUAUAUGAUGUUGAAGGUGUCAAACUUCCAGACACAGCGCACCACCAGAAAAAUACCAGUACGCUUAACGGAAAUCACAGAAACGCAUACAUAGAGGACCUAAGGUGAAAACCCCAGCAUAUACUUGGGCCAAUGCUUACUAGAGAACACUACAAGUCAACAUCCGCGCUUAAGGACCGGAGCAAAUCUUAACAAGACGCUCCUCAACUAGAGAUCUAUAAGUCAACAAGCAGUUCAAGACAUGUUCAAUAUGGUUUAAGGGAUUAAUUCAAUUCCCAAUAUCCGAACCCAGCGCAGAGAAGUAGCAUAUAAUCCGAAAGCUUUGUUCGCUGAGAGAAAAACACAUCUCAAGCGAACAUGCUAACGGUAACAGGGGCGACAUAGGUGAUUUUUGCAAAAAGUUUGAAGUUAGUAGGAAUCAAACAGCCAAAUAGCUUGAGGUUAGAGUUUGGGAGCUCGGUUUCGCACAGCAAACGGGGAAGAGAAGGGGAUGGCAAUACGGGGAAGAGAAGGGGAUGGUAACUGGUCGCGAGCAGACGGUGUCGCACAGCAGCCGGGGCCUCCUGGUCGCGAGCCACUCUGCAGCUGGCCGAGGCCACACCGCGCGCUCGCCCGUACCGUGAGCAGGCGCAGCCCGAGGUCGGACCGCUCAAGCGCCCCGAAGCCGCGAGCGCCGCAUCAGGAGUCGGGGUGGGGCCGCGCCACCACAGAGGACCCGCGAGGCCGAGCCUCGCGUGCGCCCGCAAGGCCGCCCCGCCGCAGAGGUUCGCCAAGCCACGCACAGGCCUGCGGGCCGCCGCCUGGGCGAGCGCUCCCCGUCCCCGCACGCCGACCGGACGCGCGAGCCGCGCGCAGGCUGCGGGCCGCCACCGCUUGCCGCAGUUGCCGGCCGGCCGGCUUCCGCAUGCGCGCCCCACCCGAGGCCGCUGCUGUGCCGCGCAGGUCUCCUGGCCGGCAGCUGCGUGGUGCUCCUCCGUUCUCUCU